GAUGAACGCUAGCGGCGUGCCUAAUACAUGCAAGUCGAGCGAACAGACGCGGAGCUUGCUCCUCUGUCGUUAGCGGCAGACGGGUGAGUAACACGUGGAUACCCUACCUGUAAGACUGGGAUCACUACGGAACAGCGGCUCUUAUCCCGUAUGAUCUACUGAAGCACGGUGGGGAUUGGUAAAAUUCGGUUUUGCGGGCACUACUAGCUGGUUACGCGCCGUAUUGGCUGGUUGGUAGGGUAACGGGUUACCAAGGCGACGAUGCGUAGCCGAAGGGAGAGGGGGAUAGGCGACACGGGAGCGGAGACACGGUCCAGAGGCCUACGGGAGGGAGCAGUAGGGAAUGUUAGGCAGUGGGGGAAAGCCUUACGGAGCAACGCGGCGUGAGUGACGAAGGCCUUCGGAUCGUAAUACUGUGUUACUGGUGAUGAACAGCUGUAGACGGAACUAUGGAGUGCGUGACGGUACCUGAUAAGAAAGCCACGGCUAACUACGUG
rnacentral:rRNA from 1 species